CAAGUCGAGCGGGAUUUCCUUCUGUAGCAAUACAGGAGGAAGUCUAGCGGCGAACGGGUGCAUAACACGUGGGCAAUCUGUCUUAAAGUGGGGGAUAGCUCGGCGAAAGCCGGAUUAAUACCGCAUGUGAUUAGGGGAGACAUCUCUCCGACAUCAAAGGUGGCGCAAGCUACCGCUUUUAGAGGAGCCCGCGGCCUAUCAGCUUGUUGGUGAGGUAACGGCUCACCAAGGCGUUGACGGGUAGCUGGUCUGAGAGGACGACCAGCCACACUGGGACUGAGACACGGCCCAGACACCUACGGGUGGCAGCAGUCGAGAAUUUUUCUCAAUGGGGGAAACCCUGAAGGAGCGACGCCGCGUGGAGGAUGAAGGUCUUCGGGUUGUAAACUCCUGUCAUUUGGGAACAAGUGCCGGUACGUAACUGCUACCGGCUUGAUAGUACCAGAAGAGGAAGAGACGGCUAACUCUGUGCCAGCAGCCGCGGUAAUACAGAGGUCUCAAGCGUUGUUCGGAUUCAUUGGGCGUAAAGGGUGUGUAGGUGGCGCCGUAAGUCGGGUGUGAAAUUUUAGAGCUUAACUCUGAAACUGCAUUCGAUACUGCGGUGCUUGAGGACUGGAGAGGAGACUGGAAUUUACGGUGUAGCAGUGAAAUGCGUAGAUAUCGUAAGGAAGACCAGUGGCGAAGGCGGGUCUCUGGACAGUUCCUGACACUGAGACACGAAGGCCAGGGGAGCAAACGGGAUUAGAUACCCCGGUAGUCCUGGCAGUAAACGGUGCACGUUUGGUGUGGGAGGAUUCGACCCCUUCUGCGCCGGAGUUAACACGUUAAACGUGCCGCCUGGGGAGUACGGUCGCAAGAUUAAAACU
rnacentral:rRNA from 1 species